rnacentral:rRNA from 1 species
GAUUAACGCUGGCGGCGUGCCUAACACAUGCAAGUCGAGCGGCAGCGCGUUUUACACUGAGUUCUGGCAGCUUCUAGUUGAAAGAGAAGAUUUAUUCUAGCAUUUUGUGUAAAAUGUCGGCGAGCGGCGGACGGCUGAGUAACGCGUGGGAACGUACCCUAAUGUGAGGGAUGACGCAGCGAAAGGUGUGCUAAUACCGCAUAUGGUCUUCUGAUUAACGCCUUCGGGCGGUAUGGGAACGGCCUGCGUAAGAUUGGAUAGUUGGUGGGGUAAUUGCCUACCAAGGCGACGUUGUUUAACUGGUAUGGGAGGAUGAUCCGUCGGACUGGAACUGAGACACAGUCCAGAAUCCGACGGGAGGGAGCAGUGAGGAAUCUUACACAAGGGGCGAAAGCCUGAUGGAGCAACGCCGCGUGCAGGAUGAAGGCCUUCGGAUUGUAAACUGCUUUUAUACGUGAGGAGUAUGACGGUAACUGAUGAAUAAGGAUCGGCUAACUACGUG